GUUCAUCUCUGGUUCAGUGGUAGAAUGCUCAACUGCUACGUGAGCAACCCGGGUUCGAUUCCCGGCCAUAGCACCA